AUUGAACGCUGGCGGAGUGCUUUACACAUGCAAGUCGAACGAUGAAGUCUAGCUUGCUAGACGGAUUAGUGGCGAACGGGUGAGUAAUAUAUCGGAACGUAUCCAUUAAUGGGGGAUAAUUAGUCGAAAGAUUGGCUAAUACCGCAUACGUCCUACGGGAGAAAGCUGGGGAUCGUAAGACCUGGCGUUAAUGGAGCGGCCGAUAUCUGAUUAGCUAGUUGGUGAGGUAAAGGCUCACCAAGGCGACCAUCAGUAGCUGGUCUGAAAGGACGACCAGCCACACUGGAACUGAGACACGGUCCAGACUCCUACGGGAGGCAGCAGUGGGGAAUUUUGGACAAUGGGCGAAAGCCUGAUCCAGCCAUUCCGCGUGAGUGAAGAAGGCCUUCGGGUUGUAAAGCUCUUUCGCAAGGGAAGAAAACUUAUCCUCUAACAUAGGGUGAGGUUGACGGUACCUUGAUAAGAAGCACCGGCUAACUACGUGCCAGCCGCCGCGGUAACAC
rnacentral:rRNA from 1 species